AAAAAGGGCAUCUGCUAUGACUGGCAUAGCUGUGGAUGAGAUUUUCUGAUACAGUUACGGAAUCGCUAUCAAGAGAUUUCGGAUGUGCAAUUUUUAAAACCCGAGGCUGCCAAUGAUCAUUAUUCUUGGUGCCUCA